AUUGAACGCUGGCGGCAGGCCUAACACAUGCAAGUCGAGCGGCGCGGCGGACGGGUGGGUAUUGCCUAGGAAUUUGCCUGGUAGUGGGGGAUACCGUCCGGUAACGGGCGCUAAUACCGCAUGCUAUCAGAUGAGCCUAGGUCGGAUUCGCUAGUUGGUGGGGUAUAGGCCUACCAAGGCGAAGAUCCGUAACUGGUCUGAGAGGAUGAUCAGUCAAACUGGAAAUGAGACUAGGUCACGGAGACUACGAGAGGCGGCAGUGGGGAAUAUUGGACAAUGGGCGAAAGCCAGAAGCAGCCAUGCCGCGCGGGUUAGGAAGGUCUUCAGUUAUUUAAGCACUUUAGAUUGGGAGGCGUUACCAACAGAAUAUGAACCUGCUAACUGCGUUCCAGCAGCCGCGGUAAUUC
rnacentral:rRNA from 1 species